rnacentral:lncRNA from 1 species
CAGCAAUGCCUUUAUAUCCGGCUCCUAAUCAGGGCAUGGGUGCAUACCCAUCCCAGCAGUAUGUCGCGGGUGGUCCCAUUGGCAAUACUUCCACUAGUGGCUAUCCACCACUUGGGGCUCCAGUUCCAUGGGGACCACCUAUGCCUCCACCCUAUACAGCGGGUGGUCCCAUUGGCAAUACUCCCACUAGUGGCUAUCCACCAUUUGGGGCUCCAGUUCCAUGGGGACCACCUAUGCCUCCACCCUAUGCCCAGUACCCACCUCCCCCACCUGGCUCAGCCAUGUAUCCUCCUGUCCCAGGUCAACCCUUCGCUUCAUAUGGAAUGCAGUAUCCUCCAAUUCCACCCGCAUCUUCUGGUGCACCCGCUCAGACUGUUUCUUCAGGUGAAAACGAACAAACCUACACAUCAUCGGGCGAGACACAGCAAAAUUAUCCUCCUGGAGUGCAAUCCCAGAGUAGUGCACCCGUUCAAUCAGUUCCUACUUAUGCGUGUGGCAAUUCUGUCACUUCAAUGCCACCUAAUAUCUCUCCAUAUGGAAUGCAGUAUCCUCCUCCAAUUCCACCCGCAUCUUCUGGUGCACCUGCUCAGACUGUUUCUUCAGGUGAAAACCAACAAACCUACACAUCAUCGGGCGAGACACAGCAAAAUUAUCCUCCUGGAGUGCAAUCUCAGAGUAGUGCACCUGUUCAAUCAGUUCCUACUUAUGCGUGUGGCAAUUCUGUCACUUCAAUGCCACCUAAUGCUCAACCU